GCCUUUGUGGUGUAACGGUAGCACACUCGGCGCGUAUUCGAGAGGUCCAGGUUCAAGUCCCGGCGAGGGCA
rnacentral:tRNA from 1 species